rnacentral:rRNA from 1 species
ACAACUUUCAGCGACGGAUAUCUCGGCUCAGGCACCUAUGAAGGGCGCAGCGAAACGCGAUAGUCUUUGUGAAUUGCAGAUCUCCGUGAACCAAUGGCCCCCUGAACGCGCAUCGCACUCUUGGGACUUCCUGAGAGUAUGUUUGCUUCAGUGCUU